GUUGAAUACUUUGACAUGACUUAAAGACGCCUAACCGUAGAGGCAGUACUUUUAAUCAGGCCGUAAUCGAGAUUUUGGGAUGACAAAGUUGAGCUAGAAUUCAAGAAAAAUAAUGUAAAAAUCUUCAAAAAAGAUGGCUAUGUAAACCAUUCAAUACAUAAAAAUCGUAUUGGUCUUAUCCUACGUUUCUCUGGGACUGCAACUGAUGGACAAUCUUUUUAUUUGACCAUUCAGCUUGUUGAAUAACUGAGUUUACAGUGUAGUGACAGGCAAGACAACAGCUAGACGACAACAACGAAAAAACUUAACAUCAACAUUGAAAACAAGAUAGAUGCCAAAAAGCCUCUGUUUCUACUCCAAAGAAUAAUUUUUGAGCAAGGAGAGAUCAUUGAUGACGGGAACACGUGAUCCUCCGCAAACAGCUGAGUAAACCAAAGUUAUUUAAAAUGGCAAAGAAGUUUGUGAAAUUGGGUUCGCUUGAAGAAAUCCCUUCAUUGAGGCUUAUUUUACUCGGAUUGGUUGAGGCUGAAUGCAUCCCCUAUCUUGAACGACCAAAACUUAUUCACAAUUCAAAAAGUCAUGAGAAAAUCACCUCCAUAGAAGCUAGUCCAGCACUCAUAUCAUGUAGAAGAUCCCGAGUUUGGCUCAGUUUGCGGAUAACCAAACAUAUAUUGCAUUGUGAUCCAGAUCGGGCGUUAAACUUCCGGAAUUACAGAACUCGACACCCGAAAAGCUGUUUGAACAACCUGACAGAAUUAGCCAUAAGCUCUGUCAUUCGACCGAGAGUCGGUAGAUGUCUCGCAGCAAGACGAUUGGAACGGCCGGCUGAUUUGUACGCUUUGCUAAAGAGCACCUCAAGUUUGUAACUCUGUAGAAGAACUUGCUAAAAUCCUAGAAGAAUGCCCAAAUCAUCGAAUUCUUUGGUCUUACGGAAAAAAGGUGGAGACGGAGUAGAUUUGGACAGGUAUUGCCCAAGCUGCACCCAUUCUCUGAUCACCAUGGCAACCGUACAGUACACACAGUAUUGUCAACUCUAUCCGGCAGUACAUGAAUGGCGUGUUAUUAUCAAUCCAUUGUAACAAUGUAAGUCCUGAUACGAAUGCCAACACCCACAGUUUAUUGCGACCAUUGCUCGUCUGGCAGUUCAAGAUGUACGCAGCAACAAGCAAAAGGAAUCAGCAGAAGAUUUGAUACAAGCACCGAUGACGGAUGAUUGGACGUUUGAUCGCUUCCGCAAGCUUGCCCUUAUCCCCCAGCGACUUGCAAAAAAUGAAAAUGGAACGACAAAUGCGAUCGCGGAGUGGAUUCGCUGGCGGGGAAAUCGAAUCGAUCAAUCCAUCGCAGAGGCUUUUCUCUUCUUCAUCUUGCGUGUUUUCGCCAGACGAAGGACAUCCGACUCGAUUGAGCAACAUCCUCCGCGAUCCGCCAAUAGCCAAAGAACUCAAUGAUCGCAUAAUUGUUUGAGAUUACAUCCCGACGUUGUCGCCAUUAUCACUUGGCUUCCCUCUACAAGCUGCGGACGUGACAGCUUAUCCUUUUCAAGAAUGCCUCUUGCACGGGAACAGUUUUAAUACUGACGACUUCGUAAACUAUGCUAUUCUACUGGAACUUCAACUUGCCUGGGCCUACCCUUUAAAUAGCGGAAUGUUUUGCCAAGAUAAUUUUGCCAAAGACAAGCUUGCAAGAUAUUUUUGGUGGACGUGUUCCAGUAGGCUGGAUAGCGUCCUUACCGCAAUGUUUACUGCUAUUGAAUAGCCAGAAAUUGCGCUAGCAAAUACCGGACAUUAUUGAAACCUUAUUACGAAUGAUCGCUAGCAUCGCAGUUUCAAAUCCUUUGCCCAUUUGGCUCACCCCAGACAAAUCAUUUUUAUUUUGCCAUGCAGCAGGUUGAAGGUUCCGAUUGGGAUGGAACUCCUGCCGAGUUCAAAAUGGAAAAUCUUGGCCAUGUAUUAUUAAUUGCUGCACCACUCGCCAAAAUGCAAGCCUUUUCAUUUGUGCAUAAUUGUGGGCAAUGUCAUAUCGUGCCAUUAGCGAGUAAUAAUGCAGGAAAUCCAAAUGAAUUUCACCAAAGAUUUAAGUUAUUCACGAUUUUUUAAAAUAACAACAUUCCGAUCCAUUUUUCAGAAACAUGUGUUAUCGUUGUAACAUUUUUUGGAAAAACAAUAUCGCGGUCAUUUAUUGAAUGUCCACACUCCACAUAUUUGACGUUGAUUAUAUGAAGAUCAAUUCUCCUAUGGGCGAGCGUGACCUCCUCCCCCACAAAAAACUGAAAAAUCGUUUGCGUAUGUCAUGUAAAAUUCCUCGUAAUAUGAGUCAUGCGUGUGCCCCAAACGAGGAGUUACGUGUCACGAUUAAAUAAAAAAAAACUAAUCACCUG